CUCAGCCUCCAUAAUCACAUCCUGAAGAAUCCAGAUGGUCCUGGAUCUCAUCAUCUGAUUUGGAUGUUCCUUCACCAUGACCCUAGCCCCCCAGAGCAUUUCUGUUUCAUAGAAUUUAUUUCUAUGUACUAUGAUGAUUGAUUUAUUGCCAUAUAUCCCUCCAGGCUCCUUGAAAACCUGGGAAAUGAUAAUAGUGAUGCAAAAGACACAGCAGCUAAGAAAGCAGAGCUCAUCAAAUUUCUGGUGACAGUACAUUUCAAGCAGAAGAAUCAAGGGACCGAAUGAAGGCAAGCAGAGCUCCGUUAUGAGACGGUGAAAAGUACACAGUGAGAAGAUGAAAGGAUCCUCCUGGCACGGACUGAGUUCUUUUAAUCCCCCAAUGCCUCGCUCAUGGAAUAAAGGAGGAACUUAAUGCAUAUCCGGUGGAUGAACAAAUGAAAGGGCAGGUGGUAGCACAAUAGUUGGGGAACACGCAAAGUCCCUCCUUUCUAAGGUUCUAA